AACGAACGCUGGCGGCAGGCUUAACACAUGCAAGUCGAGCGCCCCGCAAGGGGAGCGGCAGACGGGUGAGUAACACGUGGGAACGUACCUUUUGCUACGGAAUAGCUCCGGGAAACUGGAAUUAAUACCGUAUGUGCCCUUCGGGGGAAAGAUCUAUCGGCAAAAGAUCGGCCCGCGUCUGAUUAGCUAGUUGGUGGGGUAAUGGCCUACCAAGGCGACGAUCAGUAGCUGGUCUGAGAGGAUGAUCAGCCACACUGGGACUGAGACACGGCCCAGACUCCUACGGGAGGCAGCAGUGGAGAAUAUUGGACAAUGGGCGCAAGCCUGAUCCAGCCAUGCCGCGUGAGUGAUGAAGGCCUUAGGGUUGUAAAGCUCUUUCGCUAGGGAAGAUAAUGACGGUACCUAGAGAAGAAGCCCCGGCUAACUUCGUGCCAGCCGCCGCAGUAACAC
rnacentral:rRNA from 1 species